rnacentral:rRNA from 1 species
GUGGGGAAUCUUGCGCAAUGGGCGAAAGCCUGACGCAGCCAUGCCGCGUGAAUGAUGAAGGUCUUAGGAUUGUAAAAUUCUUUCACCGGGGACGAUAAUGACGGUACCCGGAGAAGAAGCUCCGGCUAACUUCGUGCCAGCAGCCGCGGUAAUACGAAGGGGGCUAGCGUUGCUCGGAAUUACUGGGCGUAAAGGGCGCGUAGGCGGACAGCUUAGUCAGAGGUGAAAGCACAGGGCUCAACCUUGGAAUUGCCUUUGAUACUGGCUGUCUUGAGUUUGGGAGAGGUGAGUGGAACUCCGAGUGUAGAGGUGAAAUUCGUAGAUAUUCGGAAGAACACCAGUGGCGAAGGCGACUCACUGGCCCAAUACUGACGCUGAGGCGCGAAAGCGUGGGGAGCAAAAGGGAUUAGAUACCCCUGUAGUCC